GGGGGUAUGGUGUAAUGGAUAGCAUAGGGGCCUUCGAAGCCUUUGAUCUCGGUUCGACUCCGGGUACCCUCGCCA
rnacentral:tRNA from 1 species